rnacentral:lncRNA from 1 species
AGUUUUUCCCUUACAUCUACCGGGUGUGGGAACUCACCCAGCGCAUCCGACUGCACAAUGAAAAAAAGUAGUUUUCCUUUACAAUGAGGCUUGGCCCCCAGGGCGAUGGUGCCACAAGCCAGAUCACUGGGACCACUCAGAGAAAGGGAACACAGAAGCCUGGCAUGCCAGCAAAAAGCAGGGUUUUUGUGAGCAGUGUCUUGCACCAAACUCCUGUCUCCUCCUGUGACUUAGAAUGCCUAACUUCCUGGGAAUGCAGCACAGGUCUCAGCCUCAUUUUGCCCAGCCCCUAUUCAAGACGGAUUUGCUGUGGUUCAAAUGCUUCUGACAAUAUUCCUCAUGGUGAAUGCUGGAUUUUGCAUGCCCGAGGCCCUGGGCCACACUGUAUGUUUGCUUUUUGCAAGGGCUGUAUGGCUAUGACUAGUUAUGUGGACCCUGCAUUCCUAUGUAAAUGACCCUCCAUAAAAACCCCAGAAAUGAAUGCUUGAGUGAACUUCCCUGGCUUGUAUUAUAAUACUGUGAACAUCUUGUCACACAUCUUUGCUGGGGGAAUUAAGUGUGUCCCUAUGUGACCGUAAUGGGAGAUAACACCCAGAGUUUUGUGCCUGCUUUCAUGUGGACUUCAUUCUAUGUGAUUUUUCCCUUUGGUGAUCCUGGUCUAUAUCCUUUUAUUGUAAUAAACUAUAACCAUAACAGCUAAAAAAAAAAAAAAAAA